GGUGGUCUUAUACCGUUUGUAUCCAACUAUAAUAGAACUACCGCGGCCUCUGUUAAUGAUGGUACAUAUAUUGGAUUUAUGUUCUUCAUGGCUAUCGGAACGGUUCUUUCAUUAGCGAUUUUGCAUCCUAGUAAGGUCAUUAGAAACGAUGGUUCUUCGUGUACUAAUAUCAAGUACUCGAGUGUGUCUGUGGAAUUAAUUCAAAU
rnacentral:misc_RNA from 1 species